GUGAACGCUGGCGGUAGGCCUAACACAUGCAAGUCGAACGGCAGCACAGUAAGCGCUUGCUCUUACGGGUGGCGAGUGGCGGACGGGUGAGGAAUACAUCGGAAUCUACUUUUUCGUGGGGGAUAACGUAGGGAAACUUACGCUAAUACCGCAUACGACCUACGGGUGAAAGCAGGUGAUCUUCGGACCUUGCGCGAUUGAAUGAGCCGAUGUCGGAUUAGCUAGUUGGCGGGGUAAAGGCCCACCAAGGCGACGAUCCGUAGCUGGUCUGAGAGGAUGAUCAGCCACACUGGAACUGAGACACGGUCCAGACUCCUACGGGAGGCAGCAGUGGGGAAUAUUGGACAAUGGGCGCAAGCCUGAUCCAGCCAUACCGCGUGGGUGAAGAAGGCCUUCGGGUUGUAAAGCCCUUUUGUUGGGAAAGAAAAGCAGCAGGUUAAUACCCCGCUGUUCUGACGGUACCCAAAGAAUAAGCACCGGCUAACUUCGUG
rnacentral:rRNA from 1 species